AGAACGAACGCUGGCGGCAGGCUUAACACAUGCAAGUCGAACGGUUGUAGCAAUACAGCAGUGGCAGACGGGUGAGUAACACGUGGGAACCUUCCUAGGGGUACGGAACAACUCAGGGAAACUUGAGCUAAUACCGUAUACGUCCGUGAGGAGAAAGAUUUAUCGCCCCUAGACGGGCCCGCGUAGGAUUAGGUAGUUGGUGAGGUAACGGCUCACCAAGCCUACGAUCCUUAGCUGAUCUGAGAGGAUGAUCAGCCACACUGGGACUGAGACACGGCCCAGACUCCUACGGGAGGCAGCAGUGGGGAAUCUUGGACAAUGGGCGCAAGCCUGAUCCAGCCAUGCCGCGUGAGUGAAGAGGCCUUGGUUGUAAAGCUCUUUUACCAGGGACGAUAAUGACGUACCUGGAGAAUAAGCCCGGACAAACUUCGUGCCAGCAGCCGC
rnacentral:rRNA from 1 species